rnacentral:rRNA from 1 species
GUCGGAAUUGCUAGUAAUGGCAGGUCAGCAUACUGCCGUGAAUACGUUCCCGGGCCUUGUACACACCGCCCGUCACACCAUGAGAGUUGGAGAUACCCGAAGCCUGUGAGCUAACUUUUAGAGGCAGCAGUCGAAGGUAGAAUCAAUGAUUGGGGUGAAGUCGUAACAAGGUAUC